rnacentral:rRNA from 1 species
GUCGAACGAGGUAGCAAUACCUAGUGGCGCACGGGUGAGUAACGCGUGGAUAAUCUGCCCUUCACUGGGGAAUAACUAAUCGAAAGGUUAGCUAAUACCGCAUGAGGCCACAGACUCUGAGGAGACAGUGGUUAAAGAUUUAUUGGUGAAGGAUGAGUCUGCGUGGGAUUAGCUAGUUGGUGAGGUAAUGGCUCACCAAGGCUACGAUCUCUAACAGGUCUGAGAGGAUGACCUGUCACACUGGAACUGAGACACGGUCCAGACUCCUACGGGAGGCAGCAGUAGGGAAUAUUGCGCAAUGGACGAAAGUCUGACGCAGCGACGCCGCGUGAGUGAUGAAGGCCUUAGGGUCGUAAAGCUCUGUUGCAGGGGAAGAAAAAAAUGACGGUACCCUGCGAGAAAGGAUCGGCUAACUUCGUGCCAGCAGCCGCGGUAAGACGAGGGAUCCUAGCGUUGUUCGGAAUCAUUGGGCGUAAAGCGCAUGUAGGCUGCCAUUCAAGUCAGUUGUGAAAGCCCCGGGCUCAACCCGGGAAGUGCUUCUGAUACUGUUUGGCUUGAGUACUAGAGAGGAUAGUAGAAUUCCAGGUGUAGUGGUGAAAUACGUAGAUAUCUGGAGGAAUACCGG